GGGUUGUGAGGUUAAGCGACUAAGCGUACACGGUGGAUGCCCUGGCAGUCAGAGGCGAUGAAGGACGUGCUAAUCUGCGAUAAGCGUCGGUAAGGUGAUAUGAACCGUUAUAACCGGCGAUUUCCGAAUGGGGAAACCCAGUGUGAUUCGUCACACUAUCAUUAACUGAAUCCAUAGGUUAAUGAGGCGAACCGGGGGAACUGAAACAUCUAAGUACCCCGAGGAAAAGAAAUCAACCGAGAUUCCCCCAGUAGCGGCGAGCGAACGGGGAGCAGCCCAGAGCCUGAAUCAGUGUGUGUGUUAGUGGAAGCGUCUGGAAAGGCGCGCGAUACAGGGUGACAGCCCCGUACACAAAAAUGCACAUGCUGUGAGCUCGAUGAGUAGGGCGGGACACGUGGUAUCCUGUCUGAAUAUGGGGGGACCAUCCUCCAAGGCUAAAUACUCCUGACUGACCGAUAGUGAACCAGUACCGUGAGGGAAAGGCGAAAAGAACCCCGGCGAGGGGAGUGAAAAAGAACCUGAAACCGUGUACGUACAAGCAGUGGGAGCACGCUUAGGCGUGUGACUGCGUACCUUUUGUAUAAUGGGUCAGCGACUUAUAUUCUGUAGCAAGGUUAACCGAAUAGGGGAGCCGAAGGGAAACCGAGUCUUAACUGGGCGUUAAGUUGCAGGGUAUAGACCCGAAACCCGGUGAUCUAGCCAUGGGCAGGUUGAAGGUUGGGUAACACUAACUGGAGGACCGAACCGACUAAUGUUGAAAAAUUAGCGGAUGACUUGUGGCUGGGGGUGAAAGGCCAAUCAAACCGGGAGAUAGCUGGUUCUCCCCGAAAGCUAUUUAGGUAGCGCCUCGUGAAUUCAUCUCCGGGGGUAGAGCACUGUUUCGGCAAGGGGGUCAUCCCGACUUACCAACCCGAUGCAAACUGCGAAUACCGGAGAAUGUUAUCACGGGAGACACACGGCGGGUGCUAACGUCCGUCGUGAAGAGGGAAACAACCCAGACCGCCAGCUAAGGUCCCAAAGUCAUGGUUAAGUGGGAAACGAUGUGGGAAGGCCCAGACAGCCAGGAUGUUGGCUUAGAAGCAGCCAUCAUUUAAAGAAAGCGUAAUAGCUCACUGGUCGAGUCGGCCUGCGCGGAAGAUGUAACGGGGCUAAACCAUGCACCGAAGCUGCGGCAGCGACGCUUAUGCGUUGUUGGGUAGGGGAGCGUUCUGUAAGCCUGCGAAGGUGUGCUGUGAGGCAUGCUGGAGGUAUCAGAAGUGCGAAUGCUGACAUAAGUAACGAUAAAGCGGGUGAAAAGCCCGCUCGCCGGAAGACCAAGGGUUCCUGUCCAACGUUAAUCGGGGCAGGGUGAGUCGACCCCUAAGGCGAGGCCGAAAGGCGUAGUCGAUGGGAAACAGGUUAAUAUUCCUGUACUUGGUGUUACUGCGAAGGGGGGACGGAGAAGGCUAUGUUGGCCGGGCGACGGUUGUCCCGGUUUAAGCGUGUAGGCUGGUUUUCCAGGCAAAUCCGGAAAAUCAAGGCUGAGGCGUGAUGACGAGGCACUACGGUGCUGAAGCAACAAAUGCCCUGCUUCCAGGAAAAGCCUCUAAGCAUCAGGUAACAUCAAAUCGUACCCCAAACCGACACAGGUGGUCAGGUAGAGAAUACCAAGGCGCUUGAGAGAACUCGGGUGAAGGAACUAGGCAAAAUGGUGCCGUAACUUCGGGAGAAGGCACGCUGAUAUGUAGGUGAAGUCCCUCGCGGAUGGAGCUGAAAUCAGUCGAAGAUACCAGCUGGCUGCAACUGUUUAUUAAAAACACAGCACUGUGCAAACACGAAAGUGGACGUAUACGGUGUGACGCCUGCCCGGUGCCGGAAGGUUAAUUGAUGGGGUUAGCGGUAACGCGAAGCUCUUGAUCGAAGCCCCGGUAAACGGCGGCCGUAACUAUAACGGUCCUAAGGUAGCGAAAUUCCUUGUCGGGUAAGUUCCGACCUGCACGAAUGGCGUAAUGAUGGCCAGGCUGUCUCCACCCGAGACUCAGUGAAAUUGAACUCGCUGUGAAGAUGCAGUGUACCCGCGGCAAGACGGAAAGACCCCGUGAACCUUUACUAUAGCUUGACACUGAACAUUGAGCCUUGAUGUGUAGGAUAGGUGGGAGGCUUUGAAGUGUGGACGCCAGUCUGCAUGGAGCCGACCUUGAAAUACCACCCUUUAAUGUUUGAUGUUCUAACGUUGACCCGUAAUCCGGGUUGCGGACAGUGUCUGGUGGGUAGUUUGACUGGGGCGGUCUCCUCCUAAAGAGUAACGGAGGAGCACGAAGGUUGGCUAAUCCUGGUCGGACAUCAGGAGGUUAGUGCAAUGGCAUAAGCCAGCUUGACUGCGAGCGUGACGGCGCGAGCAGGUGCGAAAGCAGGUCAUAGUGAUCCGGUGGUUCUGAAUGGAAGGGCCAUCGCUCAACGGAUAAAAGGUACUCCGGGGAUAACAGGCUGAUACCGCCCAAGAGUUCAUAUCGACGGCGGUGUUUGGCACCUCGAUGUCGGCUCAUCACAUCCUGGGGCUGAAGUAGGUCCCAAGGGUAUGGCUGUUCGCCAUUUAAAGUGGUACGCGAGCUGGGUUUAGAACGUCGUGAGACAGUUCGGUCCCUAUCUGCCGUGGGCGCUGGAGAACUGAGGGGGGCUGCUCCUAGUACGAGAGGACCGGAGUGGACGCAUCACUGGUGUUCGGGUUGUCAUGCCAAUGGCACUGCCCGGUAGCUAAAUGCGGAAGAGAUAAGUGCUGAAAGCAUCUAAGCACGAAACUUGCCCCGAGAUGAGUUCUCCCUGACUCCUUGAGAGUCCUGAAGGAACGUUGAAGACGACGACGUUGAUAGGCCGGGUGUGUAAGCGCAGCGAUGCGUUGAGCUAACCGGUACUAAUGAACCGUGAGGCUUAACCUUACAACGCCGAAG
rnacentral:rRNA from 1 species